GUCAUAUUUGAGGGUCUGCUAUGCAACCCGAUUUAGGGUUUCCGAUUGCUCGUCGGCCUUGCGGCUCCGCGGCUGCCGUACGAGUUCUUUUGCCUCCGCGUCCGCGGCCUCGCCCUCGAAUUCGGCUACAUCUCGUCGUCGAUCCAAGAGUGAUUCUCGGGGCAUCAACCUCACCUAUACUGAGACUUCUCGGUAUAUGGUGAGUAAAAGUCCCCAUUACUGUGAGUCUGCUGCGAUUUCAGAAAGCCUGAAAACAGUGCAUCAGGAAGGACCCUUCUCAAAUUUUGGUUGAUAUUUUGAACAGGAAAUACAAGCCCCUAGUCCAAGUUUCAAUGUAACUAGAAAUAAUUUCUUUCUGUUUAAGAGCUUUGUUGUUGUCACUGUCAGAUAUGUUUUUAGAAAGGGCAACAAGGCUACUAAAUAUGUUGUCUCUGCAAACUUUACCAGGCUCCACUUCCAUUAGCAAGAUUCAUGGCUAUUGGAGAUUAGUCUUGUGUUAAACUCCAAUUUUUUGGGUGUUACUUGUACUCUUUUCCGUGAGUAAUACAUAACUCUCUUCUGCAAAGAGAGUUGUUGGAUCAAAUGUGAGAUUUUACAAAGUUGUCAUAUUUAGCAAUGCUUUUUAAGCAGUCAACCAUUGUUUCCUACAAUGAGAUUGUUGUCAUGUUCAGGCUACUGGGCUGCCGGAAUAAGGUAAGAUCAUGUCAAAAUCUGCCGCUCGGCCUUGGUUUCUGAUAGAUUUGUUUGUGUCUUUUAGAUUGACACAGGAUGAUACAGUUUGAGGAUGCUCUCAGUCAACCUGAUAUGAUGGAACAUUGGAAGAUGAGAACCCCCAUUUGGUUGCCGUCUGUUGUAGUUACUUUGGAUGACACUACUAUUCUCCAUUAAUGACUUGAACCAAGCUUUUCUUUAACUGAUGUCAGGAACGUUAAAGUAUCAUUCUUCGCUUCAUGUAUGCAGUGUGAAGUGUUGUUUUAUAUAGUAUUUAUCUUAUCUGAAGUGAGAAUGAAGCAGUUAACGAUUGUCAGCCAAAAUAUGCAUUUGCAGAAACCAUGCUUGGAUUGUGAUCUCUGGUGGGAAAAGCCGUAAACCAACAGGAAAUCUCAAUGGGAAUUGGGUACACUCUGUGGAACUGGAUGUGAGAACCAGGUUUGAUAACUACUCUGAGACCUCUUUAAUCCGGUAAGCAGCUCUGCUAUUCCAAUUUGAUGAGGACGAGGUCCUACUAACUUUGGACACACAAGUGCAGAAUAAACUACUAACAGGAGCUGCACAAGAACUCAGAGCUGAUCAUACUAUGUAUAUUUCAUGGAAUCCAACUUCCAGCACUCUAAAGUCAUCGUCUAUAUCUCAUCACAACAAAGAGACAUUUAACAUGGAGAAGCAGUGAUGGGUCGGCUACAGGGAGCAGAACUGCUGCUUUGCCUGCUGAUGAUGGAUGGGUUUGAGAUGGUGCAGGCGCCAUGUGCGUGUCCUGAAGAUCCAGCUGCACGGCAGAAGCGUUUGGAUACCCUCUCACUCUUCCAAGCACAAGAUUCAGUUGCCCACCACCCCCUCGUUCAUGUGGGCAUGUCUCCCCUCCCCCUCCCAUGCACUGUGAUCAGCACCACAAGUUGAUGUUUUCUUUAGCUCCCGAAGGACCACUGGCUUCUUGGAUCUGGUGACCUCGACGACGCUCCUCGAAUGCAUGUGAUGCAGGCGUGCAACGUUGAGGGCCAAUCGAUCUCUUCGUCGAAGCAGCCGGUGCAAGUGUUGUGUUGUUGGAGAAGAAAGACUGGAGGCCUCGACGUCUGCUAAUGGAGCUACUAAAGAGACUGCUGGCCCUGGAGAUAGAUUAUUACAUCAUCAUCAUCAUCAUCACCGUGAAGCUAAUUAAGAAGACUGUUGGCGAUGCACCCCUUAAGGAGGCACCGCCGGUGUUGAUUUGAUCUCCCAGAUGCCUCGUGGUCCUCGGGGACAAAAUGUCACCGGUUCUUCUUCAUCAUUGCCUAUUGAUUACCGCUGUGGUCCAACCAUCCACC